GGGCAUCUGGUCCAAUGGUAAGAUCCGUAUGAGGUUGGCGCCCUCAUACGGGAUGCGUGGUUCGAAUCCCGCGAUGCCUA
rnacentral:tRNA from 1 species